AUUGAACGCUGGCGGCAUGCCUUACACAUGCAAGUCGAACGGUAACAGGUUAAGCUGACGAGUGGCGAACGGGUGAGUAAUGUAUCGGAACGUGCCCAGUCGUGGGGGAUAACUGCUCGAAAGAGCAGCUAAUACCGCAUACGACCUGAGGGUGAAAGCGGGGGAUCGCAAGACCUCGCCCGAUUGGAGCGGCCGAUAUCAGAUUAGGUAGUUGGUGAGGUAAAGGCUCAUCAAGCCGACGAUCUGUAGCUGGUCUGAGAGGACGACCAGCCACACUGGGACUGAGACACGGCCCAGACUCCUACGGGAGGCAGCAGUGGGGAAUUUUGGACAAUGGGCGCAAGCCUGAUCCAGCCAUGCCGCGUGCGGGAAGAAGGCCUUCGGGUUGUAAACCGCUUUUGUCAGGGAAGAAAAGGUUCUGGCUAAUACCUGGGACUCAUGACGGUACCUGAAGAAUAAGCACCGGCUAACUACGUGCCAGCAGCCGCCGUAA
rnacentral:rRNA from 1 species